CAGCCAUGAAUCGGCAACAUCCCACAGUCUUUGCGUUGUGGAGUGGUUAAAGGGAACGAGAGCUUCCCCAGUAUGAAUGUGGGAAACUGA